rnacentral:rRNA from 1 species
AGUGAACGCUGGCGGUAGGCCUAACACAUGCAAGUCGAACGGCAGCACAGUAAGAGCUUGCUCUUACGGGUGGCGAGUGGCGGACGCGUGAGGAAUACAUCGGAAUCUACUUUUUCGUGGGGGAUAACGUAGGGAAACUUACGCUAAUACCGCAUACGACCUACGGGUGAAAGCAGGGGAUCUUCGGACCUUGCGCGAUUGAAUGAGCCGAUGUCGGAUUAGCUAGUUGGCGGGGUAAAGGCCCACCAAGGCGACGAUCCGUAGCUGGUCUGAGAGGAUGAUCAGCCACACUGGAACUGAGACACGGUCCAGACUCCUACGGGAGGCAGCAGUGGGGAAUAUUGGACAAUGGGCGCAAGCCUGAUCCAGCCAUACCGCGUGGGUGAAGAAGGCCUUCGGGUUGUAAAGCCCUUUUGUUGGGAAAGAAAAGCAGCAGGUUAAUACCCCGCUGUUCGGACGGUACCCAAAGAAUAAGCACCGGCUAACUUCGUG